ensembl:lncRNA
GUCACCUGUUACUACUCUCAGGAACCAUGUGGUCCUGCACACCUGCCUGCCUGGCACACUCCUCCACUGAUUUCAACUGGGCACCAGUCACAACGCCUCACACAUAGCAGGGGAUAGGGAGAUGGUGUGGCAUGCGGAGACCGCCACAUGAACAUGGGCAUCCUGGGCAGACCUGAGUUUACAUCCUAGCUCCUCCACUUGCCCCAGUUCUCUAAUGCCUGUAGGACUCAAAGAUGCACAGCACAACAUGUGGGAUCUUAGUUCCCCGAGCAGGGGUCGAACCCAUUUCCCCUGCAGUGGAAGCAUGGAGUUUUAACCACUGUACCACCAGGGAAGUCCCCAUCAAAUUCAACGCUUACUAAAACACAUGUCUUUCUUUCUCGAACUUGUAUUUCUAACAGGUUUAUUGAGAUAGAAUCUACAAAUCACUCAACCUAGUGAUUUAAAGGGUACAAUUCAAUGGUUUUUAGUAUAUUCACUGAACUUAUAUUUCUUAAAAUGGAAUUAUAUCAUAAAGGCUAUGAGAACUAUUAACAGCUAAAAAGGCUUAGAUUUUAAUCAGCUAUGAUUUUUUGUAAAUCAAGAGUGUGAUGCCAUUGUGUUGCCAAAAAAUCCUACGUGACAUUGGGCUAAGCUGAUACACAUGUCCAUUCUUCCUCCCACUUCUCAUUCCGACUCUGUUUUUUAAUUAGAGGAAAAGAGAAAAGGAAGCCCCAAAUCGUCAAUAUGGAUUUUUUUUUAAAGCACUUCCAAUGAUGAUGGAAAUAUUUAUAAAAUAAGACUUUGGCAUUACCUAAUUAGAAUAUUGUGCUCAUCUCUUCCCCACUCUGUGUUAAGGGACUUCGUCUUAGUACUUGAAACUGGCCAUGGUGGAAACAGCUAUAGAAAUUAGCAAACAGAGCAAAUCAUCUUCCCCUACUCCUCCAGCUCAUCGACCAGUGCCCACUGCUUUAGCAUCCAUGCUACCCCAUGAUGACAGAGCUGGCACCGUUAAUAAUGACAAUAGACCCUCUACUAGAUUUCUUGACCAUGUGUCUCUAUAAGAAAUAUAUUUACAGAUAAUGGUAGUUAACUUCCAUAUAAGGGCAAUCUGGAAUUUAAGUAAUUUAUUGUAGUUUCAGAUGAGUAGAAUAUUUAGGGGGAAAUAUCUGAGGGAGACUGGGCUCAUUCUUAACAGCCUUCUAGGCCACAUCUCUUUUUCUUUAAGGAAAACCCAUAAUCACCAUGGUCUGUAUAUGGUGUACAUGGUCAGCUACUUAUGGAGUGGCCAUGUAACAGACUAGGAAGACGUGUGCAAAUGAAGGCCCCCUGAACGUGGAAUGAUAAAGCACUCUAUUGGCCAGUGCUUGUCCUGCACAAGUGGCUCCUUGUGCCCCCUAUUGGAUUUUGAAAGAACAAUCUCUCAGCCUUGAUUCAAAGUUUUGGAGGCUGGAAAGUCCAAGAUCAAGGCAUCAACAGAUUUCGUGUCUAGCGAGAGCCUGCUUCUCAGUUUACAGAUGGCAUUCUUCUCACUGCGUCCUUGCAUGGUAGAAGUGACAUUACACGUGCAUCAUGUUUUCAAAGAGAAAUAAAAGCUGAUCGAGAACGUCUACCUAGGACAAUUUUCUGAUCAAGUAUUUUUUAGCUUUUGACAACACUCGCUCAAUCUCCAGGAUGGUGCUCUUCAUGAAAAAUAUUUCAAGUCUGGUCAUCGGUGACACUCGCUGUUUUUUCAAGUCCGAGCUGUCCACUCUGGAAAGUGCGACCCACGGAGGACAGGAAGGAGCCACACAGUAAACUAAGCAGCAAAUAGGUGCUUCUUCAGAACUUUUUCAAGGCCAAGCAAACCCAAAGCACAGCCACACCCCACAAAGAACUUAAUAACCAGUAAUUUGGAGCCGGAUGCACAAGUAAAGGAGCCUCUUUCAUAACCUCGCUG